GAAAUGCGAUAAGUAAUGUGAAUUGCAGAAUUCAGUGAAUCAUCGAAUCUUUGAACGCACCUUGCGCUCCUUGGUAUUCCGAGGAGCAUGCCUGUUUGAGUGUCAUGGUAUUCUCAACCCACACAUCCUUGUGAUGCUUGUGAGGCUUGGACUUGGAGGCUUGCUGGCCCAUCGCGGUCGGCUCCUCUUGAAUGCAUUAGCUUGGUUCCUUGCGGAUCGGCUCUCAGUGUGAUAAUUGUCUACGCUGUGACCGUGAAGCGUUUGGCGAGCUUCUAACCGUCCUGCUAGGGACAACUUACUUGACAUCUGACCUCAAAUCAGGUAGGACUACCCGCUGAACUUAA
rnacentral:misc_RNA from 2 species